UGCCAGCAUCACUGUACCUUGUAACAUAAAGGAACAAAAUUUCAGAAUAACAUUGGAAUCAUACCAUCAUGGAUGCUAGUCCUCUAGAAAUUAGAAUAGAAAUGACUCUGAGUGUAAAAUGAUAGAAGACAAUUUAGAAUAGAAAUUCCAUUUCGAGCAACUAUUCUCAGAUUAACAACAAAAAUAGAUACAUUCAAUAAUACAAUGAGAUCUUUUGACAUAAAUAAAACUAACUAUAAAUCAGGAUGCAAGGAUGUGAUUCUGCACAUCCACGAGUUAACUAACCGUUCACCUGUGACGGAAUUUUGGGCGAACAGAAAUUACACCUGGCCUUGCUUCAUCAAAGUGAUAUCUGUCAAAUAUUGUUACAGAUAAAUAAAACAUACAGCAAAGUAAUUUUCUUAGUUCAAUCCUGAAAGAAAUAUUAAAUAAGACAUUAUAUUCAAUUAAUGUAUGCAUAAUAAAUAAUAAACAAAAAGUAGAAGGGAAAUGUUUCACCUGUUUUCACUAAGGAAACUUCUCACUGCUGUUGGGAGUGCAGCUUGACCUCGACUGUGAUUGCCUACACCUACAAGAAAAAAGCACACAUUCUGACCUCUAAAUAGCUGUCUGAUUUGGAUCUACAACUGUCGCUCACUUCCAAUUUCUACUACUGCUCAGCCACUAUGAUAGUACAAUGAAAAAGUUGGAGAGGCGCAGAAACCAUUAGAUGAAACUAAAUAUUUAAACAAAUCUGAUGCUGAUGCAUUGGUUGCACGUAAAGCAUUGAAAAUAGGCACCAUGCAACUGCACCCGAGUGAAUCACCUUGUCUAGGGGCUAGAAGUGUAUUAGGCCAUUAGUCCCAGGUCGUUGGGCCUUUCACCUUGUUAAAAUACAACAUUGGUUUGGGAUAACGGUAAUAUGCCACUUAUAUAACUUUAGGCACCCCUCUUCCCUUGAGGUAGCUUUUGGAGGUGAGUUAGGCCCGGCUCAUUUUCUUAAGAUGGUAUCAAAACCUCUAUAACCAAUAUUUGGAACUCCCAUGAGUAUUUCACACUCCAAGUGUGGGUCCUAAGCAUGAGGGAGGUGUGUUAAGAUCUCACAUUGAUUUGGGAUAGGAGUAAUGUGCCCUUUAUAUGACCUUAGGCACUCCUCCCCCUUUGAGAUAGCUUUUGGGGGUGAGUUAAGCCCGACCCAUUUUCUUAAGACACCUAAGGUGUGCUUUUAACAAUACUGCUUGGCCCCAGCAACUAUAAACAUAUAAUACUUCAUACCACAUGCAUAUACAAUUAUAUUCUUGUAUGAAGCUAAAGUACCUGUAAUUACUUGUAAUGAUGUUGUUCUCUGCCUAAAUCCUGUUUGUUGUUUAUCCAAGUUCUCCACGCCUGUGCUAAUAAAGGGCUCAAGUGAUGAAUUCGCAAUACCAUUCUUUGUCUUGAAUCUACCUGGUGAUACUGGUUGAUUCUUUAGGAGGAUCUCAAUUUUGUUCAGAUGUUCUUGCAAGGCUUUAACAGCCUCUGCUGCAUGAAGACCAUGCAAAUCCAACUUCAAUGGAUUAUUUUCACUAUUUCUUAUACUCAAAAUUUCCUUAGCUGCCUUAGCAUUGAGUCUUUCAGCAUCCAACCAUUCUUUACGAGCCUUCAAUGAGUGCUGUUGGGCAGAAAAAUGAUCUCCUCUCAGAAAGGCAUUAGUGGCUGCCCUGGAGUGCCGAGCUGCCAACCUCAUCAUCCUUAGUGCAGUUCCUCGAUGGCUCAAGUAAACAUCAUGCUCUUCCCACUCAGGCUCGACAGGUAAAGAUCUCAAGUGCCCCAGAAUUAGUUUCAUGUUUGCAGCAGCAGCCUCGGAGAGCUUAUGUCCACAAGCUGUACGCACAUACUUCAAUUGUUUGUGAUUAUCUUUGAGAGCAUUCUCCAGAGUAGAGCUUAGAUCAGCUAUGUCUGCAGCAAGGUCUGAGGUCUGUCCUAACAAAGCAAUCUCGUUUUCCCCUUUGUCACAUCGAAAAUCUUUGCAAUUAGAUAAAUAUUUUGCUUCUCCAUUCUCCUCAGAGUUGUCGGUAGAAAUCAUCUCUUCUAACAAAAUUGUGGCCUUAUCAAUAUCACUAUUCACAUUGGCCAUGACAUCCUCGAUCAAACUUUUGUCAGCCCAGCUGUAAAGUUCUUUGAGAUGUUUGAACGUAAGAUCAGGAUUCUUCUCCUCAAGAACCUCAACUAAACCAGAAUCACUAACUGAUGUCCUUUUAUUGCAAUUACCAUUCUCUGUUAUUGGUGGAAAAUCAGCAGAAGGUAGUAAUACAGAUGAGAAAGACCCUGAAGAAAAACCAUUAUUGUUCAGUAGGUUUCCACUUGGAUGAAGAGACGUGGUGCUAGUGGUUGGCAGGGGUGGAAAAGGAUCAUUGCCGACUUGUUGAAGUUGAAGACCUUGUUUCUGACGCUGCUUGAGGUCAAAGGCAGCCCAACCUGGGGACUUACCUCUCGACUGUGACUUUUUGGCAGAGGGCAGGCUCGCAUUAGCAUUCAUGUUGUCUCAAAGCAUGCCCUUCCUUCAAUGAAAAGCCUUAGCACCACCUCGAAUUGUUCAGGUAAUGAUAAUAGGUAAAAAGACCUAAAACUUCCAUUCCACAGCUAACAAAAACUGAAUCAUUGAGCUCUUUUUUAGAAAGGCAGCGACAAUUAAACACAACAGGCACAAUGCUAACCCUAGAUAAGCUAAACACGAUAAAAAAAAAAAUCAAUUAAGUGAAGCAACAAAUAAAAAAUAAAAAGAGGAAAUAACUGAUACCUCAAUCUUAAUCGGAAAGAGACUGGGAUUAUAUUAAAUUGAAACUAUUCAGGAAGAUAAAAACGUAACCAAGACGCCAAUCGAUCGAACGGAUGAGAUAGAAAGGCAAAACCAAAAUUACAAUAAAAACCCAAAUUUGAUCCAAACGGAGACUUCUUCGACGGUGAUGAAGACGAUGACACUCUGCAUCUCAUAUCCAUAAAUCCCUAUCCAGCUUUUCUUUUUCUCUUGCUGAGGAAAAGAAGAGAAAACAAGGGAAAUUUAAUUAAACUGAAUAAAACUGCGGCUGAGAAGAUCGUUGACUUGUUGUCCGCCACCUGCAGUCAGUAAAAUAAAGAUAAGUCCCCUCAGCCACGAUUCGCACCAGGCUUUAAAUUGUACCAUAAUUGGUCGGUUCGGUUAGGAAGUACUAAAUGGACCGAAUCGAACCGAACGGUUCGGUUAAUCGGUUUCAGAAUGUAAAGACUAAAUAAAUGCGUGAUUCAAAACCAGUUGAACAAAAAUUGAAAGCAGAGUCUCAAAAUGGAAAGAAAUUGAAAGUAGAGUUCUCAGGAAGCAAAGAAAUUGAAACAAACACAAACGAGCUGCACAGAAGCCACAAAAUCACAAAAUGCAAAAAAUUCAGCUUCAAUUAAAAUUUGCAACACUCAAACAAUCACAGAAAUGAGAACAACACUCAAUUGCAUUUUGCAAUAAAACAACCCAAAAACUCAAUCAAUCACAGAACUCAAUCAAUCAUUGAAGAGUGAAUACUGAACAAUAUUUGCCACUAGAUUCACAAGAAAAGGGUCUCUGAUAGCAUGGAGGUAAGCAUCAAUGUUCUGAGCAACAGCUACCGAACCGGUGGCUUACAGUGGUGCGAGGAUGCUUUGGGCUCUAAAGUGAGACGUGCGAUGCUGACAAUCAUGAGACGCGAUACAUGCAAUCAUGAGACUCUGAGGGAUUUCGAAUUUUAGAAUGAGAGGAGAACUGGAGAAUGGAGAUGAGAGGGACGGAUCGACGAGGUCUAGAAAGGAUGGAUCUGCAAUGAGCCAUAUGGUUCUGCGAGGAGGAGCGAGGAAAGUGAUGACAAGGCGAGAUGGAGAGCUGGGCCAUGCAGGAUGGGAGAAGAGUGAAAAGCCGAUAACUGGAGAGAGAGGCUGUGUAC
rnacentral:misc_RNA from 1 species